GCAGUCGACGGGACUUUUUCAUAGCUUGCUAAGGAAAAGUCUAGUGGCGGACGAGUGAGUAACACGUGAGCUACCUGCCCCGAUGCGGGGGAUAGCCUCUGGAAACGGAGAGUAAUACCGCAUGUGACCGCUCUUUAGUGAGCUGGUUAAAGAUGCCCUCGGGUGUCGCUUCGGGAUGGGCUCGCGGCCUAUUAGCUAGAUGGUGAGGUAAUGGCUCACCAUGGCGAUGACGGGUACCUGUUCUGAGAGGAAGAUCAGGCACGCUGGAACUGAGACACGGUCCAGACACCUACGGGUGGCAGCAGUCGAGAAUCAUUCACAAUGGACGAAAGUCUGAUGGUGCAACGCCGCGUGGAGGAUGAAGGCCCUCGGGUCGUAAACUCCUGUCAUCAGGGAGUAAGGCUUAUUUGUUAAUAGCAGGUAAGCUUGAUAGUACCUGAAGAGGAAGGGACGGCUAACUUCGUGCCAGCAGCCGCGGUAAUACGAAGGUCCCAAGCGUUGUUCGGAAUCACUGGGCGUAAAGGGAGAGUAGGCGGUUUGGAAAGUCAGGUGUGAAAGGCAGGGGCUCAACCUCUGGACGGCACCCGAUACUCCCAGACUAGAGUAACGGAGAGGUUGCAGGAAUUCUCGGUGUAGCAGUGAAAUGCGUAGAGAUCGAGAGGAAGACCAAUGGCGAAAGCAUGCAACUGGACGUUUACUGACGCUGAGUCUCGAAGGCUAGGGGAGCGAAAGGGAUUAGAUACCCUGGUA
rnacentral:rRNA from 1 species